CUCCGGGGGGGUUCGUAUUUCCUACGGGAGGCAGCAGUGGGGAAUUUUGGACAACGGGGGCAACCCUCCCAUCUCAGACCAUGCCGCGUGAGUGAAGAAGGCCUUCGGGUUGUAAAGCUCUUUCGGCCGGGAAAAAAUCGCAUGGGUUAAUACCCUGUGUGGAUGAUGGUACCGGAAUAAGAAGCACCGGCUAACUACGUGCCAGCAGCCGCGGUAAUACGUAGGGUGCGAGCGUUAAUCGGAAUUACUGGGCGUAAAGCGUGCGCAGGCGGUUUGAUAAGACAGGCGUGAAAUCCCCGGGCUCAACCUGGGAACUGCGUUUGUGACUGUCUCACUAGAGUACGGCAGAGGGGGGUGGAAUUCCACGUGUAGCAGUGAAAUGCGUAGAGAUGUGGAGGAACACCAAUGGCGAAGGCAGCCCCCUGGGUCGAUACUGACGCUCAUGCACGAAAGCGUGGGUAGCAAACAGGAUUAGAUACCCUGGUAGUCCACGCCCUAAACGAUGUCAACUAGGUGUUGGGUGGGUAAAACCAUUUAGUACCGUAGCUAACGCGAGAAGUUGACCGCCUGGGGAGUACGGCCGCAAGGUUAAAACUCAAAGGAAUUGUCGGGGACCCGCACAAGCGGUGGAUGAUGUGGAUUAAUUCGAUGCAACGCGAAAAACCUUACCUACCCUUGACAUGUCCAGGAGCCCGAAGAGAUUUGGGUGUGCUCGAAAGAGAACUGGAACACAGGUGCUGCAUGGCUUGUCGUCAGCUCGUGUCGUGAGAUGUUGGGUUAAGUCCCGCAACGAGCGCAACCCUUGUCGUUAAUUGCCAUCAUUUAGUUGGGCACUUUAACGAGACUGCCGGUGACAAACCGGAGGAAGGUGGGGAUGACGUCAAGUCCUCAUGGCCCUUAUGGGUAGGGCUUCACACGUCAUACAAUGGUCGGUACAAAGGGUUGCCAACCCGCGAGGGGGAGCUAAUCCCAUAAAGCCGGUCGUAGUCCGGAUCGCAGGCUGCAACUCGCCUGCGUGAAGUCGGAAUCGCUAGUAAUCGUGGAUCAGCAUGUCACGGUGAAUACGUUCCCGGGCCUUGUACACCCCCCCUUAACGUAUG
rnacentral:rRNA from 1 species